rnacentral:rRNA from 1 species
UACAGAGGUCCCAAGCGUUGUUCAGAUUCAUUGGGCGUAAAGGGUUCGUAGGCGGCGCGGUAAGUCGGGUGUGAAAUCUCGGAGCUUAACUCCGAAACUGCAUUCGAUACUGCCGUGCUUGAGGACUGGAGAGGAGACUGGAAUUUACGGUGUAGCGGUGAAAUGCGUAGAUAUCGUAAGGAAGACCAGUGGCGAAGGCGGGUCUCUGGACAGUUACUGACGCUGAGGCACGAAGGUCAGGGGAGCAAACGGG